rnacentral:rRNA from 1 species
CCUACGGGAGGCAGCAGUGAGGAAUAUUGGUCAAUGGGCUUACGCCUGAACCAGCCAAGUCGCGUGAGGGAAGACUGCCCUAUGGGUUGUAAACCUCUUUUGUCAGGGAGCAACGCCGGCUACGUGUAGCCGGACUGAGAGUACCUGAAGAAAAAGCAUCGGCGAACUCCGUGCCAGCAGCUGCGGUAAUACGGAGGAUGCGAGCGUUAUCCGGAUUUAUUGGGGUUAAAGGGUGCGUAGGCGGAAUGCCAAGUCAGCGGUAAAAUCGCGGGGCUAAACCCCGCUCGGCCGUUGAAACUGGCGUGCUUGAGUGGGCGAGAGGGAUGCGGAAUGCGUGGUGUAGCGGUGAAAUGCAUAGAUAUCACGCAGAACUCCGAUUGCGAAGGCAGCAUACCGGCGCCCAACUGACGCUGAAGCACGAAAGCGUGGGUAUCGAACAGGAUUAGAUACCCGAGUAGUC